CGCCGGGGAAGCGAAGUAGGCAGGGGCGAGGCGGCUGGGGACCGCGGGGCGGACGGGAGCGAGUAUGUCCGCUCUGACUCGGCUGGCGUCUUUCGCUCGCGUUGGAGGCCGCCUUUUCAGAAGCGGCUGCGCACGGACUGGAGCCAGGUGAGAAUUUCAAGGAUUAUCGACUUCAUAUUGCACAUUAAAGUUACAAAUUAAAGUGGCUUGGUCAAGAAUGAG
rnacentral:lncRNA from 1 species